rnacentral:lncRNA from 1 species
AAACAGAGGUCUGCUAGAAACUCUCGUCUGGGCCUUUAUGUUGUCUUGUGGCCAGAAAGCUGUUUGCUGAGCUUUGCAGAUCACACAGUUUGUGGGAAAAAAAAAAAAAAAAAAGCUCUACCUCCCCGCGUGUACUUUGAUGAUGUAGACAGCAUGAAGCUGAAGAACUGCACCCAUCUCGAAGGUGGAAAUAGCUGCCAUGUCCAUGUGUGCAGAGUCGGUCCAGGCUGUCUUGGCACUGAGUGCCUCACUCCAGCCCCCGCACCUUCGCAGAUUGUGAGCAUGCGUGGUGGGAUACUGUGAAGGCUUUGACACUGAGGCCAAGACAACUUGCUCUCUUCCCAAGCCAGCUCUUGUCUUUUCCACGGAGAUAGGAUUACAGCCAGGCACGUGGUUGCCCAGCUGCCUCUGUCAACCAGUUAUCACCUGGUUAAGUUUCUACAAAUAGAAUGCAGGCAUCAAUGAUGGAUAUCACUUUUCUCUCUCCUUCCUGUUCUUGCCACUGUGAC